UAAAGUUUGAUACUUGUUAAAAAAAACAAAAAGUAUCAACUGGUAAUCUGAAAAAGUUAUUGAGAUAUUUUUUAAAAUAGGAAAACCUACAAACCAAGUCACCAUAUGAUAGUGCAGAAAUACAUUUAUUGAUUUAAAAACAUGAUCAAAUACUUUGGUGUGAAAAUAACACAUUAAAAAGAUUUCUUUGAUACUAAUUCAAUGUGUAUGGGUUGGUGGGAGAUAGAGGAUUACUUUCAUUUUACAAUUUUUUUUAAGAUUGACCCUGAGCUAACAUCUAUUGCCAAUCUUUUUUUUUUUCUUCUCCCCAAAGCCCCCCAGUACAUAGUUGUAUAUUCUAGUUGUAGGUCCUUCUAGUUGUGCUAUGUGCGACACCGCCUCAGCGUGGCCUGAUGAGUGGUGCCAUGUCAGCGCCCAGGACCCGAACCGGCGAAACCCUGGGCCACGGAAGUGGAGCAUACAAACUCAACCACUCGGCCAGCCCCUCAUUUUACAAAUCUGCAUUUCCAUAGUGUUUUAAAUAUAGAACGUUUAUUGUAUAAAAUGUUGAAAACAUAAAAUAAUUAUGAGUUGAUUACAAAUAUGAUGCUUAUAUAUUCAUUGCUUUGGAAAAAUGUUCACAGUUUACUGUUUUAUAAAAGUAAAAGCAGCAGAUCAAAACAAGUUAUUUGACACUGCUUCUGUGUGUGCAUGUUUCCAUGUCUCAAACUUCUUUAUACCAAUUAUUCAUAUACUAACUUGUGCAGCUUUCUAUUUAGUUCACAUGGGGCUGGACUUCUAGCCUCAGGGCUUGAAAAUACCAGGAUGGGCACAAAUACAGAAGGAUCACCACCAGUGUGUGGAAAAUUCCAGAAAGCUUUGGCCCAUACAAUGGAAUUCACGCACAUCCCUCACUCCCCGCUAUUACCUCACCCUUUGCCAAUCCCCCUAGUUGACUUUCACACCUGGGAUUCUGAUGCAGAUGACCAGGUGGCAUCUUUCUCCAUUUUCUACAGGUUAUUUUUUCCCCAAGAAAAAGUAUAAUUUUUAGAACUAAAAACAACGUAUUCUCUUAAAAGUAGGUAACUAAAUAAUAAAUUCAUAUGUAUAUAACAGACUGAGAGGACAUAUACUUAGUUUUAUUUCCUGCUUAUUCCUGCCUCUACAUCUCCUUUAUUUAUUAACGUGUAUUGAGUGUUUACUGUGUGCCAGGCACUGUCCAUCUAAUUCUACAUCUGCAUCCCACAUCUUCCCUCUCUUGAUUUCUAGAACGGCAUAAGUAGAAAUGUCCACAGGGAGCGAGACAGAUGUCAGCACCCACCCGAAAGAGACUCCAUUCCAAGUAAGUACAGACCAACCUUCAUCUUGAGUCCUGGAAACCCAGUAUCUAAACGGGAAAUGAUGGGGUUGAGUGGGGAAAGUCUUCCACCUCGGGAAACUGAGGCAUCUUAUAACCCAAACUUCUAUACUUUUGCAUAGUGCUAAUGGGCUACUACCUUCUGACAGGAUCUCACUCCCGGAUAGAGAGUGAAGGAUGCAGUAACCCUUGUGUGAUUUCAGUCUUGGUUCUUCUCACAGGCAUGAACUAGGGUUUUACUUUCUCUUUAAUCCUUGGUUAGGUCUCAUGGUAGAUUUUGGAAUUGGUUUUGUGUCUGUCUUAUCCCUAGGAGGGUGGUACCUCCCAUUUAGUCCUCUGCGGGAUUCAUCUGAGGUGACGUGGAGUUUCUGCUUCAUAUAAGAUCUUCUCUACCAGUAAGCAGGCCUGGACCC
rnacentral:lncRNA from 1 species